rnacentral:rRNA from 1 species
UACAGAGGUGGCAAACGUUGUCCGGAUUUAUUGGGUGUAAAGGGCAUGUAGGUGGUCUUGUAAGUCAAAGGUGAAAUGGCCCGGCUCAACCAGGUCAUUGCCUUUGAAACUGCCGGACUCGAGUACGGAAGAGGAGAGCGGAAUUCCCAGUGUAGCGGUGAAAUGCGUAGAUAUCAGGAAGAACACCAAUGGCGAAAGCAGCUUUCUGGGACGGUACUGACGCUGAGACGCGAAAGCGUGGGGAGCGAACAGG